UGGCUUGUUAAAGAUUAUUCGGAUUUUGCAUCAGGAAAAACUAUAUUGAAUAAUACAAUCAAAUUUUAUCAAAACAGUUUUUUUCUGUGUCAACCUGCGAGAGGAGAGAUACUACACACUAAGAUUGUAGAAAUAAGCGGAAAAAUGUAUCUUCAGUUAUAAUUGAACACUAUUCGUGGAGUGUGAAAUUUGCAUACGAUCCAGGCUCACAUAUUGAAAUCCAGCGCGAGAAUCUCACGGAUAGCCCCAAGUAACAACAUUUUUUUCAUUAUU
rnacentral:misc_RNA from 1 species